rnacentral:rRNA from 1 species
UACAGAGGGGGCAAGCGUUGUUCGGAAUUACUGGGCGUAAAGGGCGCGUAGGCGGCCUUCUAAGUCGAACGUGAAAUCCCCGGGCUCAACCCGGGAACUGCGUCCGAUACUGGAAGGCUUGAAUCCGGGAGAGGGAUGCGGAAUUCCAGGUGUAGCGGUGAAAUGCGUAGAUAUCUGGAGGAACACCGGCGGCGAAGGCGGCACUCUGGGCCGGUACUGACGCUGAGGAGCGAAAGCGUGGGUAGCAAACAGG